rnacentral:lncRNA from 1 species
GUUAGACCCUCAGGAUAAUUUGCGUUUUCCUGAUGAGUAAUGAAGGUGGGGCAUCUUUUCCUGUGCUUACUGGCCACCCAGAGUUCUUUGGAAACUGCCUCUACAAGUGUUUUCAGUUUUCUUUGAACGAUCUAUCUUUUUCUUAUUCAUUUCUAGACUGUGUUUACAAAAUCACUUGCAGGCCCUUUUAGUAAUGCACGAUUUUUAAUGGCUUCUCACAAUACAUGACUCUUUUUCUUUGAUAGACAGCAAUUCUUAUUUUUAGUGGUCGACUUUUUCAAUUUUUAUGAUUGUGUUAGUUUGACAAAUACCCAAGGCAAACAACUUAAGGCAGGAAGGAUUUCUUCUUGACUCUCAGUUGUAGAUGGCUGGUUGUUGUUUCUAAGCCUGUGGGAGACCCAUACUGUAGAAGGCACAAUGAUGCAAAGUUCCCAUCUUAAGAGGGCUAUGCAGCUAAUAGGAAAAGUGCCUGCACUGGCAGACUUCAGCCUUCCUCCACUUCCAUCCACGGGACAGCGUCACCCACAUUCAAGAUGAGUUUUCCCAUUCCUUCCCACCAAGAGCAGUCAAGCACCAUGCUCAGUUUUCAGAUGGAUCCAGCUGGCCGUGGUCUGCAGCCGCACGUUAAGAAACCAAAUUCUGAAAGUUGAACCAAAUCGAAAAGCAAAACUUGAAUUUGCUGUCGGCCAGAUACUGUGACAAAUGCAUGGAAAGGAAGAGAGGUGUAGGUGCUGUGUCCGGUGUGGAAAGCCAUCGAGAGACUUUAAAGUGCAGGUAUUUUGAUGAAUCAUCCUGACUUUCGGCAGGAAGAAGGCAACUUGAAGGGGGGAGGUCUUCAUAUACAGACCAAUUAAUUCUCUGAUGAUGUGGCUCUCUCUUCCAUGUCAUGAAAACAGUGUUGUGGUGGAUUGAAAGAAAAUGUCCCCCAAAAGGAGUGGCACUAUUAGGAGGUGUGGCCUUGUUGGAGGAAGUGUGGC